CAUUAUAUAUACAACCUUCUCUCGAAGAAAAUGAAUAAGUGUUCUUUGAACGUGUUCUAGUUGCUGUUACAGAAGCCAAGUUAAAACUCUGUCAAAAGCACCAGUCUUAAAAAAAAAAUUACAAUGGUCUCUGUGAAAGUUCUAUUCUUUGUGGUGUUAGUUGCUGCAUUGCACGUUGUUGUUAUAAAAGAUGCUCUGGUUUCUGGUCAGCGCUCAGAUGAAGCUUUGACCGGCCCAUUGUAUGUGAGGUCGGACGACUGUAAUGUAUAAAGCAGAAAUGACCAUCAAUGGAAAAACACAGGAAAACUGUGUGACAUUAAGCAUAAAAUGUACCUAAUGCUUUUU